rnacentral:RNase_P_RNA from 12 species
CAGAGAAAGAGAGGGAGAAAUAUAGAAUUUAAAAACAAAGAGAAGGAAGAUAUAUGCAUGUGCUUUUGAACAAUAUUCAUUUGAUGUUCCCAUUUUUUUUCUUUCUGUUUUACUCCUCCCUUUCUUUU